rnacentral:rRNA from 1 species
AGCUCCAAUAGCGUAUAUUAAAGUUGUUGCAGUUAAAAAGCUCGUAGUUGGAUUUCGGGGCAGCCUGGCUGGUCCGCCGCAAGGUGAGUACUGGUCAGCCGCCCUUCCUCUCGAAAGCCCCGACUGCUCUUUACUGCAGUGGUCGGGUAGUUCGGGACGUUUACUUUGAAAAAAUUAGAGUGUUCAAGGCAGGCCGUCGCCUGAAUACAUUAGCAUGGAAUAAUGGAAGAGGACCUCGGUCCUAUUUUGUUGGUUUCCAGGGCCGAAGUAAUGAUUAAGAGGGACAGUUGGGGGCAUUCGUAUUUAAUUGUCAGAGGUGAAAUUCUCGGAUUUAUGAAAGACGGACAACUGCGAAAGCAUUUGCCAAGGAUGUUUUCAUUAAUCAAGAACGAAAGUACGC